rnacentral:snRNA from 8 species
GUGCUUGCUUUGGCAGCACAUAUACUAAAAUUGGAUCGAUACAGAGAAGAUUAGCAUGGCCCCUGCGAAAGGAUGACACG